rnacentral:misc_RNA from 1 species
CCAAUAGCGUAUAUUAAAGUUGUUGCAGUUAAAAAGCUCGUAGUUGAAUUUCGGGGUUAGUAAGUUGGUUGUGCCACUGGUAUGUACUGACUUUACUGAUUCCUCCUUCUUGUAGAACCGUAAUGCCAUUAAGUUGGUGUUGCGGGGAACCAGGACUGUUACUUUGAAAAAAUUAGAGUGUUUACAGCAAGCUAACGCUUGAAUACAUUAGCAUGGAAUAAUGAAAUAGGACGUUCGAUCCUAUUUUGUUGGUUUCUAGGAUUGACGUAAUGAUUAAUAGGGAUAGUUGGGGGCAUUAGUAUUCAAUUGUCAGAGGUGAAAUUCUUGGAUUUAUUGAAGACUAACUACUGCGAAAGCAUUUGCCAAGGAUGUUUUCAUUAAUCAAGAACGAAAGUUAGGGGAUCGAAGACGAUCAGAUACCGUCGUAGUCUUAACCAUAAACUAUGCCGACUAGGGAUCGGAUGAUGUUAAUUUUAUAAUGACUCAUUCGGCGCCUUACG